UACGGAGGAUCCGAGCGUUAUCCGGAUUUAUUGGGUUUAAAGGGUGCGCAGGCGGGGGAUUAAGUCGGCGGUGAAAUUUUGCAGCUCAGCUGUAAAAGUGCCUUCGAAACUGGUUUCCUUGAGUGUAGAUGAAGUAGGCGGAAUUUGUGGUGUAGCGGUGAAAUGCAUAGAUAUCACGAGGAACUCCGAUUGCGAAGGCAGCUUACUAAGCUACUACUGACGCUCAGGCACAAAGGCGUGGGGAUCAAACAGGAUUAGAUACCCCGGUAGU
rnacentral:rRNA from 1 species